rnacentral:rRNA from 1 species
AUUGAACGCUGGCGGCAGGCCUAACACAUGCAAGUCGAGCGGGAACUUCGGUUCUAGCGGCGGACGGGUGAGUAAUGCGUAGGAAGCUACCCGAUAGAGGGGGAUACCAGUUGGAAACGACUGUUAAUACCGCAUAAUGUCUACGGACCAAAGUGUGGGACCUUCGGGCCACAUGCUGUCGGAUGCGCCUACGUGGGAUUAGCUAGUUGGUGAGGUAAUGGCUCACCAAGGCGACGAUCCCUAGCUGGUUUGAGAGGAUGAUCAGCCACACUGGAAAUGAGAAACGGUCCAGACUCCUACGGGAGGCAGCAGUGGGGAAUAUUGGACAAUGGGCGAAAGCCUGAUCCAGCCAUGCCGCGUGUGUGAAGAAGGCCUUCGGGUUGUAAAGCACUUUCAGUAGGGAGGAAGAGUUGAGUGUUAAUAGUACUCAGCUUUGACGUUACCUACAGAAGAAGCACCGGCUAACUCUGUGCCAGCCGCCGCUGUAAGAC